UACGUAGGGUGCAAGCGUUGCCCGGAUUUAUUGGGCGUAAAGGGCGCGUAGGCGGCUCGGCACGUCCGUUGUGAAAUCGCCCGGCUCAACUGGGCGGGGUCAGCGGAUACGGCCGAGCUUGAGCAAGCUAGGGGGCAAUGGAAUUCCCGGUGUAGUGGUGGAAUGCGUAGAUAUCGGGAGGAGCACCAGUGGCGAAGGCGGUUGCCUGGGGCUUUGCUGACGCUGAUGCGCGAAAGCGUGGGGAGCGAUCCGG
rnacentral:rRNA from 1 species